GACGAACGCUGGCGGCGUGCUUAACACAUGCGAGUCGAACGGAAAGGCCCUGCUUUUGUGGGGUGCUCGAGUGGCGAACGGGUGAGUAACACGUGAGUAACCUGCCCUUGACUUUGGGAUAACUUCAGGAAACUGGGGCUAAUACCGGAUAGGAGCUCCUGCUGCAUGGUGGGGGUUGGAAAGUUUCGGCGGUUGGGGAUGGACUCGCGGCUUAUCAGCUUGUUGGUGGGGUAGUGGCUUACCAAGGCUUUGACGGGUAGCCGGCCUGAGAGGGUGACCGGCCACAUUGGGACUGAGAUACGGCCCAGACUCCUACGGGAGGCAGCAGUGGGGAAUAUUGCACAAUGGGCGGAAGCCGGAUGCAGCAACGCCGCGUGCGGGAUGACGGCCUUCGGGUUGUAAACCGCUUUCGCCUGUGACGAAGCGUGAGGGACGGUAAUGGGUAAAGAAGCACCGGCUAACUACGU
rnacentral:rRNA from 1 species